CCCGGCUGGGAGAAGCGCAUGAGCCGCAGCUCAGAGUAAACACUCAGGAAGCGUUACCCAUUGCUGCCAUUCCCAGAGAUGCAAAAGGCCGAGUGUACUACUUCAACCACAUCACUAACGCCAGCCAGUGGGAGCGGCCCAGCGGCAACAGCAGCAGUGGUGGCAAAAACGGGCAGGGGGAGCCCGCCAGGGUCCGCUGUUCGCACCUGCUGGUGAAGCACAGCCAGUCAAGGCGGCCCUCGUCCUGGCGGCAGGAGAAGAUCACCCGGACCAAGGAGGAGGCCCUGGAACUGAUCAACGGCUACAUCCAGAAGAUCAAGUCGGGAGAGGAGGACUUUGAGUCUCUGGCCUCACAGUUCAGCGACUGCAGCUCAGCCAAGGCCAGGGGAGACCUGGGUGCCUUCAGCAGAGGUCAGAUGCAGAAGCCAUUUGAAGAUGCCUCGUUUGCGCUGCGGACGGGGGAGAUGAGCGGGCCCGUGUUCACGGAUUCCGGCAUCCACAUCAUCCUCCGCACUGAGUGAGGGUGGGGAGCCCAG
rnacentral:sRNA from 1 species